GCAAUUAUUGCAGGAGAGAAGCACAGUAUGUGCUCGCCGAAGGAGCAACGACCCCGGAAACUCUCAGGCAGAAGGACUGUAAUAAUUUC
rnacentral:ncRNA from 2 species